GAAUAUUGCACAAUGGGGGAAACCCUGAUGCAGCCAUGCCGCGUGUGUGAAGAAGGCCUUCGGGUUGUAAAGCACUUUCAGUGGUGAGGAAGGCCAUACACCUAAUACGUGUGUGGAUUUACGUUAGCCACAGAAGAAGCACCGGCUAACUCCGUGCCAGCAGCCGCGGUAAUACGGAGGGUGCAAGCGUUAAACGGAAUUGCUGGGCGUAAAGCGUACGUAGGCGGCUUGUUAAGCAAGAUGUGAAAGCCCCGGGCUCAACCUGGGAAUGGCAUUUUGAACUGGCAAGCUCGAGUUUUGAAGAGGGUGGUAGAAUUUCCUGUGUAGCGGUGAAAUGCGUAGAUAUAGGAAGGAAUACCAGUGGCGAAGGCGGCCACCUGGUCAAAAACUGACGCUGAGGUACGAAAGCGUGGGGAGCAAACAGG
rnacentral:rRNA from 1 species